AUUGAACGCUGGCGGCAUGCUUUACACAUGCAAGUCGAACGGCAGCGCGGGCUUCGGCCUGGCGGCGAGUGGCGAACGGGUGAGUAAUACAUCGGAACGUGCCCAGCAGUGGGGGAUAGCUCGGCGAAAGCCGGAUUAAUACCGCAUACGACCUGAGGGUGAAAGCGGGGGAUCUUCGGACCUCGCGCUAUUGGAGCGGCCGAUGGCAGAUUAGCUAGUUGGUGGGGUAAAGGCCUACCAAGGCGACGAUCUGUAGCUGGUCUGAGAGGACGACCAGCCACACUGGGACUGAGACACGGCCCAGACUCCUACGGGAGGCAGCAGUGGGGAAUUUUGGACAAUGGGCGAAAGCCUGAUCCAGCAAUGCCGCGUGUGUGAUGAAGGCCUUCGGGUUGUAAAGCACUUUUGGCGGGAACGAAAAGGACUGUGCCAAUACCACGGUUCGAUGACGGUACCCGCAGAAUAAGCACCGGCUAACUACGUG
rnacentral:rRNA from 1 species